rnacentral:rRNA from 1 species
UACGUAGGGUGAAAGCGUUAAUCGGAAUUACUGGGCGUAAAGCGUGCGCAGGCGGCUUUGCAAGUCAGACGUGAAAUCCCCAGGCUCAACCUGGGAACUGCGUCUGAUACUGGAUGGCUUGAAUUCGGGAGAGGGAUGCAGAAUUCCAGGUGUAGCGGUGAAAUGCGUAGAUAUCUGGAGGAAUACCGGUGGCGAAGGCGGCAUCCUGGACCGACAUUGACGCUGAGGAGCGAAAGCUAGAGGAGCAAACGGG